CGCUAGCGACAGGCUUAACACAUGCAAGUCGAGGGGCAGCGGGGGUAGCAAUACCCGCCGGCGACCGGCGCACGGGUGAGUAACGCGUAUGCAACUUACCUAUCAGAGGGGGAUAACCCGGCGAAAGUCGGACUAAUACCGCAUGAAGCAGGGGCCCCGCAUGGGGAUAUUUGCUAAAGAUUCAUCGCUGAUAGAUAGGCAUGCGUUCCAUUAGGCAGUUGGCGGGGUAACGGCCCACCAAACCGACGAUGGAUAGGGGUUCUGAGAGGAAGGUCCCCCACAUUGGUACUGAGACACGGACCAAACUCCUACGGGAGGCAGCAGUGAGGAAUAUUGGUCAAUGGGCGUAAGCCUGAACCAGCCAAGUCGCGUGAGGGAUGAAGGUUCUAUGGAUCGUAAACCUCUUUUAUAAGGGAAUAAAGUGUGGGACGUGUCCUGUUUUGUAUGUACCUUAUGAAUAAGGAUCGGCUAACUCCGUGCCAGCAGCCGCGGUAAUACGGAGGAUCCGAGCGUUAUCCGGAUUUAUUGGGUUUAAAGGGUGCGUAGGCGGCCUUUUAAGUCAGCGGUGAAAGUCUGUGGCUCAACCAUAGAAUUGCCGUUGAAACUGGGAGGCUUGAGUAUGUUUGAGGCAGGCGGAAUGCGUGGUGUAGCGGUGAAAUGCUUAGAUAUCACGCAGAACCCCGAUUGCGAAGGCAGCCUGCCAAGCCAUGACUGACGCUGAUGCACGAAAGCGUGGGGAUCAAACAGG
rnacentral:rRNA from 1 species